rnacentral:lncRNA from 1 species
CGCCCACCUCCGCCUCCCAAAGUGCUGGGAUGGCAGGCGUGAGCCACCGCGCCCGGCUGGGUUGUCCACUUUUAUCUCCUCUUUUCCUUGAUCGUCCUCCCCUUUUUUUCUCCUCUUCCUUUUCCUUAAGCCUUCGCCUGUCAAUCACGUCGAAACACAGUAUUUGACCGGAGCCAGUAUCUUGAUCUGCCUAAAGACAAGACAUUCAAUCGUGAACAGUCGAAUAUUAUUCCUUCCUCAAUUAUACAAAGAAGAGAAGCUGCGUUUCCUCAAGUGUCGAGUGGCUCUCGUGCUUCCAGUCACAUUUCCGUGAAAGAAACUACUGGGAUAUUGGGGGCAGGACUUGACGACUGACAGCCAUCACCACAGCGCUGACUCUGUCCCUCAAGACCAUGAGUGUACCGGGCAGACACACUUCUCCUAGCUCUGGCCAGCCUGGCACUGCCAGUCCCAGCCAGGCAGCUGGGAGGGUGCCUGAACUGCCCCUGGCUGGGUGGCCUUAAGGACCCCAGGGGGUGCUGCCAGCCAUGACUCACCCACUUUCCACUUCUUUGCAGAAACCUAACUAUCAGUUAACUAUCAGGGUCCCCUUUUCUUUGUGUUAGGGACCCACGGGCCUGUAUUCCUUUACUGUCAUUUGAACGGUAUUUUGAGAAAACAGUAGGCACUCAACCAAGGCACACUGCUAAGUCAGUUUCCACUCGAGUAUCUGCUUUCCAGCUUCCAAGAUUUUCCAAGGUUGUGUUGCUGUUAUUCCCUCUUCUAUUCCCACACUUGUAAGAUUUUGUGUGUGUAUGUGACACAGUCAUACACACACACACCAGUUGUUAAAAUGCUGAAAUAUCUGGUUAAUAAACAGAAGCUUCCCUGAGCUUCAGGUGCCCCAUAGCCCCAGCCUUUUCCCUGAGACCCCAGUCCCCUACACUUUGUCCUGGGUGGUGAGUGUCUUCCCGCCUUUGGCGAUUUCGAGCUUUUCCUCACGUGGGAGGGCAAGGAGCUGCAUGCAAAGGGGUGAUGCUGAAGGCUGCACCUCCAGUUUAAAAAGGCUCCCCGGAUGAUUUUGACUACCAGCCAGAUUUACAAGCCA